rnacentral:rRNA from 1 species
UACAGAGGUCUCGAGCGUUGUUCGGAUUCAUUGGGCGUAAAGGGUGCGUAGGUGGCGCUGUAAGUCAGGUGUGAAAUUUCGGAGCUUAACUCCGAAACUGCAUUUGAUACUGCGGUGCUUGAGGACUGGAGAGGAGACUGGAAUUACGGUGUAGCAGUGAAAUGCGUAGAGAUCGUAAGGAAGACCAGUGGCGAAGGCGGGUCUCUGGACAGUUCCUGACACUGAGGCAACGGAAGGCCAGGGGAGCAAACGGG